GGGGGAUUGGCUGGCUGUCGACUCGCUCCCUCUCUCCCGACUUUCUUAGAGGCAGCGAGAACAGAGCAGGAGAUAUAGAGUUUGCCGCCCUCUUUGAUGCUGUUUUAUACAUUCACCCCACCAAGCCUCGGAGAGAGCGUUCUGAGACAAGGUGUUCUCCAGUCUCAGCCCAACAACGUACUUUCAAUACUUUUCCAUGUGAAAAAAGAGAAGACCUGCUGAGUGCCGACCUACUCCAGUGAUCAUGUACCCUGUGCCAUUCUGUUUGUAUUGUACCACAAUUCUCUCUGUGUGAGAAGCAAUGAUCAGCCUCUCAGCUCCAACAUGGAUGCCAACCAAUAUACACUCUAUUGAUAAUUUUCUUUGGAAAGGGAGAGGGAGGAAAGAAGAAUGAGAGAGAGAGAAAAAGAAAAGGCUUAUGCCCCUUUUGGUCUCCAAGGAGGAGGAUCUUCAUUAACCCCCAGGAAAGACGCAGAGGACACAGGAAGAAAGGAGGAGAGAGGAAGAGAGGAGAGAGCAGGGCAGAUCGGGGGAGAGGGCCACAGAGCAAUCACAGACCUCAUUAUGAACACUGAAAGACCUGGCCAGAUGAGAUGGAGGGGAGAGAGAGAGCGAGAGCCACCCGAGGGACACUGAACACACACAGCCUGCAGGCUACAGCUCCACACCAGACAGAGCAUGGGCUGUUCACUACAUUGGCACUUUGUGAUGGCACCUCCGCACUGUUCGUCCAACCAGGAUGAAGAGCAGUGCUGCCAGCAGGAAGAAGAAGACGGAGAAGGGAGCAAACAGGAAGGAGGUGGUAGACUGUUGGACACUGAGAGGAGUGUUGUUGCUGGGCAGCGUAGUCCUCCAGAGUGUCCAGUACCUGGGUCCAGACUACAUACAUCAUUAUUACAACCAGGAGACAUAGACCUGGAGAGAGGAGAGGGAGAGGGGGAGGAAGAGGGAAACAUUUAAACUCAAUAAAAGUUAAUAGAACAUAAAUGCGUCUCCUGAUUAGUGGCAACUUGUCAUUCAGGGCAGGUGGGGUUGCCUGUUUGCAUGUUAUUUUGGCAUUAAUACAUGUCACAUAUCAGUUUGAAAACAAUGUAAAAAAUAUAUAUAUAAUAAUGUUAAUAAAGCCGCAUACAAGCUUGG
ensembl:lncRNA